CAUAGAUUCUGUGGCAGGAGGGAGCAGGAACCAGUCCAUGCAGUUGAAGCUGGAGAUAGCAAACCAAAGGACACACAAACAGCUCAUCCUUGACGCGCAUGAGGAUAUCUGCAAGUUAUUAGUGCCCCCGCAUCCUGACCCUGCGCAGCUUUCUCAUGUGACUUUGUUGAGGUACAGUAUGUCUGUUCACAUCUGUCUCAAAGUCUGUUUCCAUAGAAAUCAUGCAGUGUACGUUUGUGUGAUUAUUAGAUUUCCAUCAAAAACCAGGCUGUAUUGUGAGUUUUUCCUAUCACUUUCAGCACUGUUAAGAACAGUAUCUUUAUUACUUAAAAAACACACACACACACACACACACACACACAACUUGAGAAAGUGAGAUUGUUUUGUAAUGCUUAAUCUUUGUCCGACAGUGGUAAAGCAGAGUCAAUAACCUUUGUGCACUCAGGUCGUACAAAAUGUA